GCUUCACAAUACUUAUCAUAUUGUAAUCAACAACUGCAGCUCUGUUUCAGUUUUCCUCUUGAAGAAUUGUUUUUCAACUGGAACUUGAUGAAUGACCGUUAUGAGUUUUCAGGGAUUACACAUUUUUGUGCACGGCGUAAAGAAAUACUGGCAUUAACAGCACCCCGUUCAUGUGGUUCCCUCGUCCCGGAAGAGUACAACACAGGGAUAUAUGUGUAAGGACAACAUACUGCUAGAAGGGGCCCUGGAGAGCAGCAAAUGGCAACCAGACUGCAGAGCUGGCACUUCUGUUCCUCAUGGAUGCAUAGAAUCUACAUGAUUUGGAGAUGUACCCCCAAGGAAAAGCAUCCCCAUCUACCAGCCUCCACACAACUCCUUUGAUGCGCAUCUGAUCAUGCAAGGUUCUUAUGGAAAUUACACCAGCCUUGCACAAUUGCCAUGGAAAUUUUCCAGCCCAGAAUCUAGAUGGAAGAAUGGAGAUAACCAUACAAUACCACUGGGAAAUAUUUUGAAAUCCUUAAGUUAAUAGACAAGAGAACUGACCUUGCACUGAAGUAGUUUUGUAGGGAAAUUCCACACUGGCGGGUAAAUAAGGAAACAUUUUUGCAGCAAGUUGCUUUUUAAAAAAUGGCAGCUGCUUGGAAGCUGCUGAAAGGUUUGGAAUCUGAGGCAGCAGAAAUGGAAUAGUGGGCCAAGUUCAGGAAGAAGUUAUUUCAACAACUAGGCCACAGUUCUAUACUCCCUUACUUAGGCAAAAUUCCUAUUGAUGUCAAUGGGAGUUAUGUCUGAGUGAGGCCUGCAUGUCUAUUUCUGUUCGACACACAAGGUUUCUUUUCUGACUGAAACUAAUUGUCAAAUUGGACCCAAAGUCAUGAAUAGUUUUGGUGCCGCAGUAAAUUAAAUAUUCACCAGAAGGUUUGCCUGCUUUAGUAAUUACAUAGCCAUGUUAUUCAUCAUACCUCACUGCAGGAUUUGUCUUACACCUAUGUUAACAGAACAACAAAUUUGGAUAUUGUCAUUGUAUUAAGUGCUACACUCAAGUUUGGCUGAUUGUUUUGUGUUAAUAGAGUUAACAUUGGGAAAAAUUACAUAGACACUGUAAAGUCCACUCAUAUAUAAGUUAAUUAUCAAAACUAUCACACCUCCACCUUGUGUAAUGAAGCUAUGAUGGAUUUCACAUCAAAAG